rnacentral:lncRNA from 1 species
AGCAGAUUUGUCAAACACUUCCCAAGCACUAACAAGAAAUAAUUAAUGAUAUAGUAAUAAAGCCCAGGUUAGUCAUAUGCCAUACAAUGUCAUCUGUACUCUCAAAAGGAUUUAGGCUCAUGGAAGGAAUCUUAAUUUCAGAAUAUUAAUAGUGAUAAACUCUAAAAGGUAAAAAUAGCUGAGUGAAUGACUUAAACUACUGUACUGUAAAGUGAUGUCAUUGUUUAUACUAAUUUCUGUGACUGAAGUCUUGAAGAUUUAGAGCUGUGUUACUGGGAUAAGUCAACUUCAUAUUCACAUCUAGAUAUUUUAUUCCACAAAUAUAAUGAUAGAGAUUCAACAGCAUUUACAGUUGUCAUCACCAGAAAACUCUUGCUGGUCCAGUCUGAGCUCUGUAAAAAGUUAUCAUCCAAACGUGCUGCAGUCUCCAAUCUGAGCCAGCUGAGCACAGGAGCUUUCUGCCAGGGCUUCAAGGACCAUGAAGACACCUGGUGUUGGUUCACAACUGGAACACAUCUGAACCUGGUUCUAGCUAGCCUAGGUGAGUGCUCACUUUGGGUAGGACAAACUCAGGCAAUUCAUUCUGCUGAUUACCUCCAGCAGAAAGGAGAAAGUAGGCAACUGGCAUCUGUUAUGCUAACACAGCUGUUUCCACAGGUUGAGCUGAAAACUUACACUAGUUGGGGGAUUUCUCAUUCAGGUCAUGCACCUUGA